GAUGAACGCUGGCGGCGUGCCUAAUACAUGCAAGUCGAGCGAACAGACGAGGAGCUUGCUCCUCUGACGUUAGCGGCGGACGGGUGAGUAACACGUGGAUAACCUACCUAUAAGACUGGGAUAACUUCGGAAAACCGGAGCUAAUACCGGAUAAUAUAUUGAACCGCAUGGUUCAAUAGUGGAAGACGGUUUUGCUGUCACUUAUAGAUGGAUCCGCGCCGCAUUAGCUAGUUGGUAAGGUAACGGCUUACCAAGGCAACGAUGCGUAGCCGACCUGAGAGGGUGAUCGGCCACACUGGAACUGAGACACGGUCCAGACUCCUACGGGAGGCAGCAGUAGGGAAUCUUCCGCAAUGGGCGAAAGCCUGACGGAGCAACGCCGCGUGAGUGAUGAAGGUCUUCGGAUCGUAAAACUCUGUUAUUAGGGAAGAACAAAUGUGUAAGUAACUAUGCACGUCUUGACGGUACCUAAUCAGAAAGCCACGGCUAACUACGUG
rnacentral:rRNA from 1 species